GGUGAGAUGGCCGAGCGGUCUAAGGCGCCAGACUAAGGUACGUUCGAAAGGUGGGAUAUAUCUAAUCUGGUCUCUUCGGGGGCGGGAGUUCGAAUCUCCCUCUCAUCA